rnacentral:rRNA from 1 species
CCUACGGGAGGCAGCAGUGAGGAAUAUUGGUCAAUGGACGCAAGUCUGAACCAGCCAUGCCGCGUGCAGGAAGACGGCUCUAUGAGUUGUAACCUGCUUUUGUACGAGGGUAAACGCAGAUACGCGUAUCUGUCUGAAAGUAUCGUACGAAUAAGGAUCGGCUAACUCCGUGCCAGCAGCCGCGGUAAUACGGAGGAUUCAAGCGUUAUCCGGAUUUAUUGGGUUUAAAGGGUGCGUAGGCGGUCGGAUAAGUUAGAGGUGAAAUCCCGAGGCUCAACUUCGGAAUUGCCUCUGAUACUGGUCGGCUAGAGAGUAGUUGCGGUAGGCGGAAGGUAUGGUGUAGCGGUGAAAUGCUUAGAGAUCAUACAGAACACCGAUUGCGAAGGCAGCUUACCAAGCUACUUCUGACGUUGAGGCACGAAAGCGUGGGGAGCAAACAGGAUUAGAUACCCCUGUAGUC